CCUACGGGUAGCAGCAGUGGGGAAUAUUGCGCAAUGGGCGAAAGCCUGACGCAGCGACGCCGCGUGAGGGAUGAAGGUCUUCGGAUCGUAAACCUCUGUCAGCAGGGAAGAACGGUCACUGUGCUAAUCAGCAGUGAAUUGACGGUACCUGCAAAGGAAGCACCGCCUAACUCCGUGCCAGCAGCCGCGGUAAUACGGAGGGUGCGAGCGUUAAUCGGAUUUACUGGGCGUAAAGCGCUCGUAGGCGGUAUGUCAAGUCAAGGGUGAAAUCCCCGCGCUCAACGUGGGAACUGCCUUUGAAACUGGCAGACUGGAGUGUGUGAGAGGAUAGUGGAAUUCCAGGUGUAGGAGUGAAAUCCGUAGAUAUCUGGAGGAACAGCAGUGGCGAAGGCGACUAUCUGGCACAUAACUGACGCUGAGGAGCGAAAGCGUGGGUAGCAAACAGGAUUAGAUACCCCUGUAGUC
rnacentral:rRNA from 1 species